rnacentral:misc_RNA from 1 species
GAAAUGCGAUAAGUAGUGUGAAUUGCAGAAUUCAGUGAAUCAUCGAAUCUUUGAACGCACCUUGCGCCCCUUGGUAUUCCAUGGGGCAUGCCUGUUCGAGCGUCAUUUGUACCCUCAAGCUCUGCUUGUUGUUGGGUGUUUGUCCCCGUCUCCGCGCGUGGACUCGCCCCAAAGUGAUUGGCAGCCGGCGUACUGGUCCCGGAGCGCAGCACAUGUCGCGCAAACGAGUGCCUUGGUACGGCGGCGUCCAUAAGCCCCUCUCUCACGCUCUUGACCUCGGAUCAGGUAGGGAUGCCCGCUGAACUUAAGC